rnacentral:rRNA from 1 species
UACGUAGGGUGCAAGCGUUGUCCGGAAUUAUUGGGCGUAAAGAGCUCGUAGGCGGUUCUUUAAGUCUCAUGGUGAAAGGCUGGGGCUCAACCCCAAGCAAGCCGGGGAUACUGGAGGACUGGAGACAGGCAGAGGCCAGCGGAAUUCCGGGUGUAGCGGUGGAAUGCGUAGAGAUCCGGAAGAACACCGGAGGCGAAGGCGGCUGGCUGGGCCUGAUCUGACGCUGAGGUGCGAAAGCGUGGGGAGCGAACAGG